UUAGUCGGGGAGCAAAAAAGCGGACGUGUCCGCCAUGAGCGUACCCGAAGAAUAAGCAUCGGCUAACUCCGUGCCAGCAGCCGCGGUAAUACGGAGAUGCGAGCGUUAUCCGGAUUUAUUGGGUUUAAAGGGUGCGUAGGCGGUUUAAUAAGUCAGGGUUAAAUGUCGGGGCUCAACCUCGGCCUGCCGUUGAAACUGUUGAACUAGAGUUAGAGUGAGCAUGCGGAAUGCGCAGUGUAGCGGUGAAAUGCAUAGAUAUUGCGCAGAACUCCGAUCCGAAGGCAGCGUGCUAACUCUCGACUGACGCUGAGGCACGAAAGCGCGGGUAUCGAACAGAUUAGAUACCCUGGUAGUCCGCGCAGUAAACGAUGGAUACUUGCCUUCUGGGCCGAAUGAGUUUGCGAGGCGAAGCGAAAGCGUUAAGUAUCCCACCUGGGGAGUACGCCGGCAACGGUGAACUCAAAGGAAUUGACGGGGGCCCGCACAAGCGGAGGAACAUGUGGUUUAAUUCGAUGAACGCGAGGAACCUUACCCGGGCUCGAACGCAAGUUGACGUACUUUGAAAGAGGUAUUCCACAAUGGCAAUUUGCGAGGUGCUGCAUGGUUGUCGUCAGCUCGUGCCGUGAGGUGUCGGCUAAGUGCCAUAACGAGCGCAACCCCUAUCUAUAGUUGCCAACGGGUGAUGCCGGGAACUCUUGGAGACUGCCAGCGCAAGCUGUGAGGAAGGCGGGGAUGACGUCAAAUCAGCACGGCCCUACGUCCGGGGCGACACACGUGUUACAAUGGCGAGUUACAGCGGGAAGCUGCAUAGCGAUAGUGGCGGAUCCCUAAAUCUCGUCUCAGUUCGGAUUGGAGUCUGCAACUCGACUCCAUGAACUGGAUUCGCUAGUAAUCGCGCAUCAGCCACGGCGCGGUGAAUACGUUCCCGGGCCUUGUCACACCGCCCGU
rnacentral:rRNA from 1 species